rnacentral:rRNA from 1 species
UACGUAGGUGGCAAGCGUUGUCCGGAUUUAUUGGGUUUAAAGGGUGCGUAGGCGGCUUUAUAAGUCCGUGGUGAAAGCCAACAGCUCAACUGUUGAACUGCCAUGGAUACUGUAAGGCUUGAGUACAGACGAGGUAGGCGGAAUGGAUGGUGUAGCGGUGAAAUGCAUAGAUACCAUCCAGAACACCGAUUGCGUAGGCAGCUUACUAGGCUGUAACUGACGCUGAGGCACGAAAGCGUGGGGAGCGAACAGG